rnacentral:rRNA from 1 species
UACAGAGGUCCCGAGCGUUGUUCGGAUUCACUGGGCGUAAAGGGUGCGUAGGUGGUUGUGCAAGUCUGAUGUGAAAUCUCCGGGCUUAACCCUGAAACUGCAUUCGAUACUGCGCGGCUAGAGUGCUGGAGGGGAGACUGGAAUUUACGGUGUAGCAGUGAAAUGCGUAGAUAUCGUAAGGAAGACCAGUGGCGAAGGCGAGUCUCUGGACAGCAACUGACGCUGAGGCACGAAGGCCAGGGGAGCAAACGGG